AUAGGAUAUAUAUUAAGGUGAAUUUGUGAAAUGACCAAUUUUGGAAAAGAAAUUAAGUGCAGAGCACUGAUUUUGACAUAAUGUAUUAUCUAACAAUUGUGCUUCAUUUCCACCGCUUUUACCCUUGAUUCAUACAAGUUGCCGGUGACUUAAAGAUGUAGAAAUGAUUUUGACAAAAUCCAAGUGUGACCAAUAAUUAAUGCAAACUGUCACCAACAAAAGGAAGAUAAUACACCCACAUCACAUACAUAAUAACCACAAACAUUUCAUUAAUUCUACUUCAUAUAACCAAAAUAAUAUAGAAUAUUAAUUAUACAUCAACCCUUAAAUCUAGAUAGUAAAACUUAUCUCAAUCUGAAACUAAUCUUUAAACACUAAACCUUAAACCCUAAUCACUAAACCCUAAAUCCAAACAUAAACCAUAAAUUCAAAUAUAAACCUAAAUUAAACUCCAACUUUUAAAUAUAAACCCUAAAUGGAUCACUAAACCCAAACUCAAAUAUAAACUAUAUUAUAUAUUUAUAAUUUUAAAAUAAAAUUAAAAUAUGAAAAAUAUAUAUAAUAUUUUUUGAUAUUAAACAAUACUAUAUAAAGAUGAAAAAUAUCAUACUAAACUCUAAACACAACCCCUAAUUACUAAACUCUAAACCCUAGCCACUAAAUCCUAAACCCAAAUCCAAAUCUAGCCAC
rnacentral:lncRNA from 1 species